GCGGCAUGCUUUACCACAUGCAAGUUUGUACGGUCUCUGAAAAUUGGGGUAGUAACGAACGGGUGAGUAAUUUGCAAGAGUUGACAUUUAGGAGGUGAACAACAUUUGGAAACGAGUGCUAAUGCGCCAUAAUGCUAUAAAGUUAAAGAUACACAAUAUCGCCUAGAUACAAGCUUGCAACUGAUUAGCUUGUUGGUGAGGUAAUGGCUUACCAAGGCUUUUAUCAGUAGCUGGUCUUAGAGGAUGUACAGCCACACUGGAAAUGAGAUAUGAACAGACUCCUACGGGAGGCAGCAGUGAGGAAUCUUCCGCAAUGAGUGAAAGCUUGACGGAGCAACGCCGCGUGGAGGAUGAAGGCCUUAGGGUUGUAAUCUCCUUUUCUCACAGAAGAAUUUUUGACGGUAUUUGAGGAAUAAGCAUCGGCUAACUUCGUGCCAGCAGCCGCGGUAAUACGAGGGAUGCAAGCGUUAUCCGGAAUUAUUGGGCGUAAAGCGUUUGUAGGCGGGCGGGUGUGUUUAAUGUUAAAUCUUAAAGCUCAACUUUGAAAUUGCGUUAAAAACUGCUUGUC
rnacentral:rRNA from 1 species